GAUUAAGUUAUUAAGGGCGCACGGUGGAUGCCUUGGCACUAGAAGUCGAUGAAGGACGUUACUAACGACGAUAUGCUUUGGGGAGCUGUAAGUAAGCUUUGAUCCAGAGAUUUCCGAAUGGGGAAACCCAGCAUGAGUUAUGUCAUGUUAUCGAUAUGUGAAUACAUAGCAUAUCAGAAGGCACACCCGGAGAACUGAAACAUCUUAGUACCCGGAGGAAGAGAAAGAAAAUUCGAUUCCCUUAGUAGCGGCGAGCGAAACGGGAAGAGCCCAAACCAACAAGCUUGCUUGUUGGGGUUGUAGGACACUCUAUACGGAGUUACAAAGGACGACAUUAGACGAAUCAUCUGGAAAGAUGAAUCAAAGAAGGUAAUAAUCCUGUAGUCGAAAAUGUUGUCUCUCUUGAGUGGAUCCUGAGUACGACGGAGCACGUGAAAUUCCGUCGGAAUCUGGGAGGACCAUCUCCUAAGGCUAAAUACUCUCUAGUGACCGAUAGUGAACCAGUACCGUGAGGGAAAGGUGAAAAGCACCCCGGAAGGGGAGUGAAAUAGAACCUGAAACCGUGUGCUUACAAGUAGUCAGAGCCCGUUAAUGGGUGAUGGCGUGCCUUUUGUAGAAUGAACCGGCGAGUUACGAUUUGAUGCAAGGUUAAGCAGUAAAUGUGGAGCCGUAGCGAAAGCGAGUCUGAAUAGGGCGUUUAGUAUUUGGUCGUAGACCCGAAACCAGGUGAUCUACCCUUGGUCAGGUUGAAGUUCAGGUAACACUGAAUGGAGGACCGAACCGACUUACGUUGAAAAGUGAGCGGAUGAACUGAGGGUAGCGGAGAAAUUCCAAUCGAACCUGGAGAUAGCUGGUUCUCUCCGAAAUAGCUUUAGGGCUAGCCUCAAGUGAUGAUUAUUGGAGGUAGAGCACUGUUUGGACGAGGGCCCCUCUCGGGUUACCGAAUUCAGACAAACUCCGAAUGCCAAUUAAUUUAACUUGGGAGUCAGAACAUGGGUGAUAAGGUCCGUGUUCGAAAGGGAAACAGCCCAGACCACCAGCUAAGGUCCCAAAAUAUAUGUUAAGUGGAAAAGGAUGUGGCGUUGCCCAGACAACUAGGAUGUUGGCUUAGAAGCAGCCAUCAUUUAAAGAGUGCGUAAUAGCUCACUAGUCGAGUGACACUGCGCCGAAAAUGUACCGGGGCUAAACAUAUUACCGAAGCUGUGGAUUGUCCUUUGGACAAUGGUAGGAGAGCGUUCUAAGGGCGUUGAAGCAUGAUCGUAAGGACAUGUGGAGCGCUUAGAAGUGAGAAUGCCGGUGUGAGUAGCGAAAGACGGGUGAGAAUCCCGUCCACCGAUUGACUAAGGUUUCCAGAGGAAGGCUCGUCCGCUCUGGGUUAGUCGGGCCCUAAGCUGAGGCCGACAGGCGUAGGCGAUGGAUAACAGGUUGAUAUUCCUGUACCACCUAUAAUCGUUUUAAUCGAUGGGGGGACGCAGUAGGAUAGGCGAAGCGUGCGAUUGGAUUGCACGUCUAAGCAGUAAGGCUGAGUAUUAGGCAAAUCCGGUACUCGUUAAGGCUGAGCUGUGAUGGGGAGAAGACAUUGUGUCUUCGAGUCGUUGAUUUCACACUGCCGAGAAAAGCCUCUAGAUAGAAAAUAGGUGCCCGUACCGCAAACCGACACAGGUAGUCAAGAUGAGAAUUCUAAGGUGAGCGAGCGAACUCUCGUUAAGGAACUCGGCAAAAUGACCCCGUAACUUCGGGAGAAGGGGUGCUCUUUAGGGUUAACGCCCAGAAGAGCCGCAGUGAAUAGGCCCAAGCGACUGUUUAUCAAAAACACAGGUCUCUGCUAAACCGUAAGGUGAUGUAUAGGGGCUGACGCCUGCCCGGUGCUGGAAGGUUAAGAGGAGUGGUUAGCUUCUGCGAAGCUACGAAUCGAAGCCCCAGUAAACGGCGGCCGUAACUAUAACGGUCCUAAGGUAGCGAAAUUCCUUGUCGGGUAAGUUCCGACCCGCACGAAAGGCGUAACGAUUUGGGCACUGUCUCAACGAGAGACUCGGUGAAAUCAUAGUACCUGUGAAGAUGCAGGUUACCCGCGACAGGACGGAAAGACCCCGUGGAGCUUUACUGUAGCCUGAUAUUGAAAUUCGGCACAGCUUGUACAGGAUAGGUAGGAGCCUUUGAAACGUGAGCGCUAGCUUACGUGGAGGCGCUGGUGGGAUACUACCCUAGCUGUGUUGGCUUUCUAACCCGCACCACUUAUCGUGGUGGGAGACAGUGUCAGGCGGGCAGUUUGACUGGGGCGGUCGCCUCCUAAAAGGUAACGGAGGCGCUCAAAGGUUCCCUCAGAAUGGUUGGAAAUCAUUCAUAGAGUGUAAAGGCAUAAGGGAGCUUGACUGCGAGACCUACAAGUCGAGCAGGGUCGAAAGACGGACUUAGUGAUCCGGUGGUUCCGCAUGGAAGGCCAUCGCUCAACGGAUAAAAGCUACCCCGGGGAUAACAGGCUUAUCUCCCCCAAGAGUUCACAUCGACGGGGAGGUUUGGCACCUCGAUGUCGGCUCAUCGCAUCCUGGGGCUGUAGUCGGUCCCAAGGGUUGGGCUGUUCGCCCAUUAAAGCGGUACGCGAGCUGGGUUCAGAACGUCGUGAGACAGUUCUUAUCCCUAUCCGUCGUGGGCGUAGGAAAUUUGAGAGGAGCUGUCCUUAGUACGAGAGGACCGGGAUGGACAUACCUCUGGUGUACCAGUUGUCGUGCCAACGGCAUAGCUGGGUAGCUAUGUGUGGACGGGAUAAGUGCUGAAAGCAUCUAAGCAUGAAGCCCCCCUCAAGAUGAGAUUUCCCAACUUCGGUUAUAAGAUCCCUCAAAGAUGAUGAGGUUAAUAGGUUCGAGGUGGAAGCAUGGUGACAUGUGGAGCUGACGAAUACUAAUCGAUCGAAGACUUAAUCAA
rnacentral:rRNA from 1 species